rnacentral:rRNA from 1 species
GACAUCCCGGAGACCCUUAGGAAACUAGGGGGUGGCUUCCAUCUGGAAGAAUCUGGAGACAGGUGCUGCAUGGCUGUCGUCAGCCCGUGUCGUGAGAUGUUGGGUUAAGUCCCGCAACGAGCGCAACCCUUGCCUUUAGUUGCCAGCAGUUCGGCUGGGCACUCUAAAGGGACUGCCGGUGUUAAACCGGAGGAAGGUGGGGAUGACGUCAAGUCCUCAUGGCCUUUAUGACCAGGGCUACACACGUACUACAAUGGCCGAUACAAAGGGCAGCGACACUGCGAGGUGAAGCCAAUCCCGUAAAAUCGGUCUCAGUCCGGAUUGGAGUCUGCAACUCGACUCCAUGAAGUUGGAAUCGCUAGUAAUCGUGGAUCAGCAUGCCACGGUGAAUACGUUCCCGGGCCUU